GGGUGCCUGGCUAGCUAGGUGAGCAGCAUACUACAGACAGUUCACCGCAGAGAGCUCACUGGGUGGAGCUGAGCCCAGGGAAGGCUGCUGAAGACCAGGUGCCUGGCUGAUUGGAUAGAGUAGCAGCAGGCCCAUGAAAAGGUGACUGCACUUCAGUGCUGAGUGAAGGAAAUUCUGUACAGAGCUUGUCAAAUGCUUUGGGAUUCUGCUAGACUGAAGGUAUUAUAGAAGUAAAUACUCCCUAGUUAUUCUGCUAUCAACAAGACUGACCUCAUUCUGGAUGCAUGAUGAAGAUAUCAUUUGCAAUACUCAAGUUUACAUCAGGUUGCUAGGAGCUUCAGCCUCUGAAUUUGUUCUCCAGGAAAGGAUAAAAAAGAAAGGAGAAGCAGCACAAAAAAAGCAGGCAAGAUUAAAAAUGAUAGCAAAGGUUAUAAAAGGCACCAUAAUGAAACUC